AAAGAAUUAAUAAUAUUAAUAAUAUAAAUGUGUUAUAAAUAAUAAAUUUUAUAAUGAUUUUAUAAUUA
rnacentral:tRNA from 1 species